GUUCCUCAGUGUGGGAGCCGAGGCUUGGUGUGAACAAAUGCGUGAGGCCGACCCAAGAUAACAAAACCCCCUGAAUACCCGAACUGUAAAUCCAGGCCCCAAUAACAUUAUAAGGGAAACCGAGUCUUUCGGACAUAAUCGAAACCGACAGGCAACUGUGAACAUCGGAAUUAAUUCAUAUUUGAUUGGAUUGUCUGUUACAUCCAUCAGAAGAUGAUGAAACAUCUUUGUUCCCGAAAGAAUUCUCUCAAAAUGCAUCUGGCUGACUUUUUUUCUAGAUUUAAACGGUUCAGGCUUUUAUGACCUCAUUUGACUUUCUCCCACUGAAUUGUGACUCAUUAAACUUUCUUGCA